rnacentral:lncRNA from 1 species
AUUGACUACCUCAUGUAAUUGAUUGAAUACUGGACAGAAAGUGAAAAACAGAAUGGUUAAGUGUAUCGGUUGUUUACCCUCCUGAUCACAUGGCUGACUGGGAGCUGUGGCUCGCUCCUGCUGCCCAGCAUCACAAGAGAGAAUCAGACCACAUGUGACUAGCCAGAGAAGAGACAAAAAUUCAAAAUUCAAAGUAUGGCUUCUACUGAAUGCUUCUCGCUUUCAUGCCAUCGUAAUAUUGGAAAAAUUGUAAGUCAAACUAUCGAAAAGUCGGAGACCGUCUGAAUAACACGGGUCCAUGCUUCGAGGAGGCCACAGUAUUGUAGGGAAUAAAAUAUACUGCAAAAAGCAAUUUACUGACCAAUACAAGACAGUUUUCUAACACUUGCUAAAUUGUGCAGAGAGGCCCAGAAGGAAACGGGGAGCUUUGGGGACCCCGGCGCACCCCAGGAUUGUGCCAGGAUCAUAGUGGAUGCUCAGCGACGGCUUGUGAACUGAGGGAGUGCCGGAAGCUGAGAAGCAGAGAGAAAGCUUUGUGGCUAAUUAAGUCUCUUCUUCUCUCCGGCAGCCACUCACACUCUGGCCAGUGUUGCCAGCCCCCAGCAGGGCUGCUGCGGACAAGCCACUCAGUGAUACGAGGCCUCCUGAAGAAGUAAAUGACCAUCUGGUUGCCCGAUGGAAUGUUUCCCCCCGGGGAAAUUACAAAGUGGAACCAGGUGCCCAGGCUGCAGCCUCACGUCUUUACUAGGCCAGUCCAGGGUCCUGGGCUCAGGGCCAGGGGGUAGCUGUAUUCUGCUGACCGGCCAGUCUUCUUUCCAGCUCUGAGCUGACAUCCGUGCCCAUCUUCCUCUAUUUUAUAUGUAGGACGCCUGUCACAGCAUGGCUUGAUAAGCAGUGUGUAGGCCCACGUCCAGGAUCCAAACUGAUGAACCCUGGGCCACCAAAGGAGAGGACUCAAACUUAACUGCUAUGCCACCGGCCAGCCCCUGUAUAUGUUUUUAUUAGGAUUGACAUUGAGCAUAUUUUCAUAUGUUUAAGACCCAAGUAUGUUUCCUGCAAACUGUCUAUAUCCAUACCCAUUUUUCUGUUGACCUGUUGGUCUUUUGUCUUAUCAAUUUGCAGGAGCUCUUUAUAUAUUGGGGAACUGAACCUUUUGUUUGUGAUAUGAGUUACACACAUUUCUCAUUUUGUCAUUUUCUUAUAGACUUUUUCAAAAAAUUUGUAUGUUUUUAAAAUUUGUAUGGUUUCUGUCAUGCAGAAGUUUUCAAUUUUAUGUAGUUGAAAUUGUCAAUCAUUGAUUUUUGUGGCUUUUAGAUUUUCAGUCAUAGUUAGCAAGACUUUCCUUAUCUUCUAUGUUUGUUUCUGUAUUUUUAUAUUUUCUUUUUAUAUUUAAAUCUUUGAUAUAGUCAAAAUUUAUUGUACCAUAGAGGUGAAGUCUAUAUACAAAAUGUUCGUUAUCAACACUACUUAUUGAAUACUCCGUCUUUCCCCCAUGUAUUUGAGAUGACACCUUUUUUUUUUUUGAGGAAGAUUAACCCUGAGCUAACAUCUGCUGCCAAUCCUCCUCUUUUUGUUGAGGAAGACUGGCCCUGAGCUAACAUCUGUGCCCGUCUUCCUCUACUUUCUAUGUGAGGUGCCUACCACAGCAUGGCUUGACAAGCAAUGUGUAGGUCCACACCCAGGAUCCAAACAUGUGAAGCACAGGCUGCCGAACCAGAAUGUACGAACUUAACCACUGCUCCACUGGGCCAGCCCCCCGAGAUAGCACCUUUGUCUUAAACAAAAUUGCUAUAUGCAUUUGGAUAUUUUUCAGGAUUUUCAAUUCUGUGCCAGAUAUCAGUCUGAUAAAUCAUAUUUCACUAUUACAAUGUUUUAAUUGUUGAAGAUAUUAAGUUUAUUUCAAUAUAUAGUAUAGCUAUUGCUUCUUGUUUAUCUUCUUUUAUUUUUUAUUUUUGGUGAGGAAGAUUGGCCCUAAGUUAAAAUCUGUUGCCAAACUCCCUCUUUUCGCUUGAGGAAGAUUGUCCCUGAGUUAACAUCCAUGCCAGUCUUCCUCUAUUUUGUAUGUGGGACACUGCCACAGCAUGGCUUGAUGAGCAGUGUGCAGGUUUGUGUCCAUGAUCCAAACCCGUGAGUCCCAGGCCCCUGAAGCACAGCGUGUGAACUUAAUCACUAUGCCACUGGGCCAGCCCCUCAUUUAUUUUCUCUAUCAGAAUUACCUUGGCUAUUCUUUAUUUUUCCACGUGAAAGUUAGAAUCACCUUAUAUGGAUAAAAAUUUCUUUUUGCAUUUCUAUUGAGAUAAUAUUUAUAAGUUAGCAUUUAUAUAUUAAGAGAAAUUGAUAUAAGGCUAAGUCUUCCUAUCUGAGAACAUGGUACGUCUUUUCAUUUAUUCAAGUCUUUUUCUUUCUCUUUUUUUGUUUUUUUUUAUGAGUGUUUAAUAGGUUAUUUAGGUCUUGCACAUAUCUCAUUCAACUUAUUUUUAAUUAUUUUACAUUUUUAUUGUAAAUAAGGUAUUUCCUUCCGUUAUAUUGCCUGAUGCUGUUUAUAUUAAAAAAAGCUAUUGAUUUCUGUAUAUUAAUUUUACAUGUUCUGUAAUUGGUUGUAGUCAUUUUCAC